rnacentral:rRNA from 1 species
UACAGAGGGGGCAAGCGUUGUUCGGAAUUACUGGGCGUAAAGCGUGCGCAGGCGGUGAUGUAAGACAGAUGUGAAAUCCCCGGGCUCAACCUGGGAACUGCAUUUGUGACUGCAUCGCUGGAGUGCGGCAGAGGGGGAUGGAAUUCCGCGUGUAGCAGUGAAAUGCGUAGAUAUGCGGAGGAACACCGAUGGCGAAGGCAAUCCCCUGGGCCUGCACUGACGCUCAUGCACGAAGGCGUGGGGAGCAAACAGG